rnacentral:lncRNA from 1 species
AUCAUAGGGAGUUCUCGGGCCAGGGAUCAGAUUGAAGCCACAGCCAGAUUCUUAACCCGCUGUGCCGGGCCAGGGCUCAAACCUGCAUCCCAGGGCUCCAGACACCACCCACCCCAUUGCACAGAGCGGAAUCCCUACGUGACCUUCCGAAUGCCAGGUUGCUAUCUCAAACGGCCUGAGCCAACUCCUGAGCGGAACGCCUCCGAGGCCACCCGGGGGCGGAAGGUCACUGACUGCCGUUCUCGGCCGGGCCGCAUCUCCUUCCUCCCCCAUUUACCAGAACUCGGAUCCUUUCGUGUCUCUAAAUGGAACUCCGAGGGAGCGCUUCCUCUUCCGACCCAACAAUCGUCUUUUUCUCUAGUUGACAAAUAUAAUGUUGGACUUCUUGGUGAUAAUGCAAAUGGAUUUUGAAUCUAAUUGAACUUUUUAUAUCAAAUAUUUCAAAAUAACGAUGACGUCCUGCUCAGCAGCCACAGAUGUUGCUCCCAGCCUCUUAAUAAUUCUUCUUUAGGAUUCAAAUUAUAACCCUCACUAAACAUCAUGGGUGAGCGUUUCUGAUGGUUUUGCUUCAAAUCCAUCAACUUUAUCAUGAAAUGUGAACAUAUUUUCAUAUAGUUUUUGCAAUUUUCGAAUAAGUUCAUUUCGGGGCUCCAAAAACGGCAGUGAAGUGAGCCAUUUUGGAAGCCAGGGACUUUGUGUCUAGAAAUCAGCCACAUGAGCAUCUGAGUUUGAGCCCCAACCUCGGGACCGCGCCUCCCCUGGCUCCGACCCCUCGGCUCCCGGACGCUGAAAACUGCUGGUAUUUGCCACAUUCCUCAGUUUGCAAUUUUCAGAUGCACAGGAAAGUUUUGCACGCCACCACUUGAAUUUGGGGGUUUUCAGGACACACUUGCCUCCUUCGUCUCACUGCAGCUGUGCUGUGCCUGACGGAUGCUCCUGAAAUGUUUUCAACACAAUCAUCGACCACGUGGAGAAUUUCAUUCGCCCAGCUGGNCUCUGUUGUGUCAAGGGCCGGCCCGAGCCCCUUGCUCCGCUGCCUUGACGCAGCGGACGGCAUAGCUGUUGGAUGUGUCGGUGGCCUGUGGUUUCUGUGUGGUCCCCUCUGGUUCCAGACCCUGGAUUUUUGUGCUGCCCUCAGUGUGGCCGAGGCAGCGUUACCAGUGAGGCCGUGGGCUCCGAGCUUUCUCCGCCCCCUUGAAGCCGAGGGACCGUGUUCUUACAUCCUGCGCUCCCUUUCCUGCCUUGAUCUGUCCUGGACCGAGAAAAAUGCAUGACCAUUUCCUGCCCUAACGUGUCCUGUUUCUGCCAAUCCUCUCUGAGCUCCUGCUCUGGGAGGGACGCCGCAGGGCGAUGCAGUGAUGUCCAGAAUUGCAGACUUUUUCGUGGACGGCACCCUUUGCCCUUAUAACGUGUCUUUUAUUUUGUAUCAUUUCUCUUGUAUUCAGAUAAGCCCUCUCUGAUGCUGGCUGUUGUUGCCCCUGCAUUUUUGUGCAUUUUUCCUGUAUGUGUCUGCAUCUAUUUUUACCUGCCUGAGUUGCUUUGUUUUUGAAUAAUCUCAGGAUCGGCCUGAAGCUGGGUUUCCUCCCUGGAUGAAAGGUGGAUGCAUGUGAGGCUCCUUCUGUUAUGCUUACACCAUCCGCUUUUGAUUAUGUCUGAAGCAUCUCUUCCACUCUAAGUCUCUGUGUCUUUUACGUGUCUGUUUUAUUGUUUGGAAGUUUGUUUGGUGAGUAUUUUAUUUUAUUUUAUUUGGGCUGCACCUGUGGCGCAUGGAGGUUCCCAGGCUCGGGGUCGAAUCAGAGCUACAGCCGCCGGCCUACGCCACAGCCUCAGCCGCGCCAGAUCCAAGUCGCAUCUGCACCCGACACCACAGCUCACGGCAAUGCUGGAUCCUUAACCCACGGAGGGAGGCCAGGGGUCGAACCUGCGUCCUCAUGGAUGCUAGUCAGAUUUGUUUCCGCAGAGCCCCGACGGGAGCGCCUGGGGGCCAUUUUAAAGUUCUAACUUUACG